GAUGAACGCUAGCUACAGGCUUAACACAUGCAAGUCGAGGGGAAACGACAUCGAAAGCUUGCUUUUGAUGGGCGUCGACCGGCGCACGGGUGAGUAACGCGUAUCCAACCUGCCCACCACUUGGGGAUAACCUUGCGAAAGUAAGACUAAUACCCAAUGACGUCUCUAGAAGACAUCUGAAAGAGAUUAAAGAUUUAUAGGUGAUGGAUGGGGAUGCGUCUGAUUAGCUUGUUGGCGGGGUAACGGCCCACCAAGGCGACGAUCAGUAGGGGUUCUGAGAGGAAGGUCCCCCACAUUGGAACUGAGACACGGUCCAAACUCCUACGGGAGGCAGCAGUGAGGUAUAUUGGUCAAUGGGCGAGAGCCUGAACCAGCCAAGUAGCGUGCAGGAUGACGGCCCUAUGGGUUGUAAACUGCUUUUAUAAGGGAAUAAAGUGAGUCUCGUGAGACUUUUUGCAUGUACCUUAUGAAUAAGGACCGGCCAAUUCCGUGCCAGCCGCCGCCGUAA
rnacentral:rRNA from 1 species